rnacentral:rRNA from 1 species
AGUACCCGCUGAAAACUUAAGCAUAUCAAUAAGCGGAGGAAAAGAAACUAACAAGGAUUCCCCUAGUAACUGCGAGUGAAGCGGGAAAAGCUCAAAUUUAAAAUCUGRCAGUCUUGGCUGUCCGAGUUGUAAUCUGGAGAAGUGCUUUCUGCGCUGGACCGUGUACAAGUCUCUUGGAAUAGAGCGUCAUAGAGGGUGAGAAUCCCGUCUUUGACACGGACUACCAGUGCUUUGUGAUGCGCUUUCAAAGAGUCGAGUUGUUUGGGAAUGCAGCUCAAAAUGGGUGGUAAAUUCCAUCUAAAGCUAAAUAUUGGCGAGAGACCGAUAGCGAACAAGUACCGUGAGGGAAAGAUGAAAAGCACUUUGGAAAGAGAGUUAAACAGUACGUGAAAUUGCUGAAAGGGAAACGCUUGAAGUCAGUCGCGUUGUUCAGAACUCAGCCUGGCCUUGGCUUGGUGCAUUUUCUGAAUAACGGGCCAGCAUCAAUUUUGACUGUUGGAUAAAGGCCAGGGAAAUGUGGCUCCUCCGGGAGUGUUAUAGUCCUUGGUUGCAUACAAUGGUUGGGAUUGAGGAACUCAGCAUGCCUUUAUGGUCGGGGUUCGCCCACGUUCAUGCUUAGGAUGCUGGCGUAAUGGCUUUAAACGACCCGUCUUGAAACACGGACCAAGGAGUCUAACAUGCCUGCGAGUGUUUGGGUGGAAAACCCGAGCGCGAAAUGAAAGUGAAAGUUGGGAUCCCUGUCGUGGGGAGCACCGACGCCCGGACCAGACCUUCUGUGACGGAUCCGCGGUAGAGCAUGUAUGUUGGGACCCGAAAGAUGGUGAACUAUGCCUGAAUAGGGUGAAGCCAGAGGAAACUCUGGUGGAGGCUCGUAGCGAUUCUGACGUGCAAAUCGAUCGUCAAAUUUGGGUAUAGGGGCGAAAGACUAAUCGAACCCUUUUGUC